rnacentral:rRNA from 1 species
AGAGUUUGAUCCUGGCUCAGAGUGAACGCUGGCGGCGUGCUUAACACAUGCAAGUCGAACGAUGAAGCUUUAGCUUGCUAGAGUGGAUUAGUGGCGCACGGGUGAGGAAUAUAUAGCUAAUGUGCCCCUUAGAGGGGGAUAACAGUUGGAAACGACUGCUAAUACCCCAUACUCCUUCUUACUAUAAGGUAAGUUGGGAAAGUUUUUUCGCUAAGGGAUCGGGCUAUACGGUAUCAGCUUGUUGGUGAGGUAAUGGCUCACCAAGGCUAUGACGCCUAUCUGGUCUGAGAGGAUGAUCAGACACACUGGAACUGAGACACGGUCCAGACUCCUACGGGAGGCAGCAGUGGGGAAUAUUACACAAUGGAGGAAACUCUGAUGUAGCAACGCCGCGUGGAGGAUGACACAUUUUCGGGUGCGUAAACUCCUUUUUAUAUGGGAAAAGAUAAUGACGGUACCAUAUGAAUUAAGCACCGGGCUAACUUCCGUGCA